rnacentral:rRNA from 1 species
UACGUAGGCAGCAAGCGUUGUUCGGAAUUACUGGGCGUAAAGAGUGUGUAGGCGGUGCUCUAAGUUCGGUGUGAAAUCUCCCGGCUUAACUGGGAGGGUGCGCCGGAAACUGGAGUGCUCGAGCGUGGGAGAGGAAAGCGGAAUUCCUGGUGUAGCGGUGAAAUGCGUAGAUAUCAGGAGGAACACCGGUGGUGUAGACGGCUUUCUGGAC